rnacentral:rRNA from 1 species
AUUGAACGCUGGCGGCAGGCCUAACACAUGCAAGUCGAGCGGAUGAGAGGAGCUUGCUCCUGGAUUCAGCGGCGGACGGGUGAGUAAUGCCUAGGAAUCUGCCUGAUAGUGGGGGACAACGUUUCGAAAGGAACGCUAAUACCGCAUACGUCCUACGGGAGAAAGCAGGGGACCUUCGGGCCUUGCGCUAUCAGAUGAGCCUAGGUCGGAUUAGCUAGUUGGUGAGGUAAUGGCUCACCAAGGCGACGAUCCGUAACUGGUCUGAGAGGAUGAUCAGUCACACUGGAACUGAGACACGGUCCAGACUCCUACGGGUGGCAG